GGAGUCUGGGCCGUGUCUCAGUCCCAAUGUGGCCGUUCACCCUCUCAGGCCGGCUACUGAUCGUCGCCUUGGUGGGCCGUUACCUCACCAACUAGCUAAUCAGACGCGGGUCCAUCAUGUACCACCGGAGUUUUUCACACUUGACCAUGCGGUCCUGUGCGCUUAUGCGGUAUUAGCAGUCGUUUCCAACUGUUGUCCCCCGGUACAUGGCAGGUUACCCACGCGUUACUCACCCGUCCGCCACUAAAACUACUCAAGAAUUGAGCAAGCUCGCUUCAGCGAGUAGUUUCCGUUCGACUUGCAUGUGUUAAGCACGCCGCCAGCGUUCAUC
rnacentral:rRNA from 1 species